GAUGAACGCUGGCGGCGUGCUUAACACAUGCAAGUCGAACGAAGCAUUUGCGACAGAUUUUUUCGGAAUGAAGUUGCUUAUGACUGAGUGGCGGACGGGUGAGUAACGCGUGGGUAACCUGCCUUGUACUGGGGGAUAGCAGCUGGAAACGGCUGGUAAUACAGCAUAAGCGCACAAUGUUGCAUGACAUGGUGUGAAAAACUCCGGUGGUAUAAGAUGGACCCGCGUCUGAUUAGCUAGUUGGUGAGAUAACAGCCCACCAAGGCGACGAACAGUAGCCGGCCUGAGAGGGUGACCCGCCACAUUGGGACUGGGACACGGCCCAGACUCCUACGGGAGGCAGCAGGGGGGAAUAUUGCACAAUGGAGGAAACUCUGAGGCAGCGACGCCGCGUGAGUGAAGAAGUAAUUCGUUAUGUAAAGCUCUAUCAGCAGGGAAGAUAGUGACGGUACCUGACUAAGAAGCGCCGGCUAAAUACGUG
rnacentral:rRNA from 1 species